UCCCCGGAUGAGGACGACAAUGG
rnacentral:piRNA from 1 species